rnacentral:rRNA from 1 species
UACGUAGGGGGCGAGCGUUGUCCGGAUUCAUUGGGCGUAAAGCGCGCGCAGGCGGCCCGGUAAGUCGGAUGUGAAAUCCCACGGCUCAACCGUGGAACUGCAUUCGAUACUGUCGGGCUAGAGGCAGGUAGGGGAGAUCGGAAUUCCUGGUGUAGCGGUGAAAUGCGCAGAUAUCAGGAGGAACACCGGUGGCGAAGGCGGAUCUCUGGGCCUGUCCUGACGCUCAGGCGCGAAAGCUAGGGGAGCGAACAGG